GGGCUCGUAGCUCAGUCUGGUUUAGAGCAUCAGUCUUAUAAGCUGACGGUCGGCGGUUCAAAUCCGCCCGAGCCCA
rnacentral:tRNA from 1 species